rnacentral:rRNA from 1 species
GUACUUGUACUGAUUGAGAUUUUAACACGAAGUGAGUGGCGAACGGGUGAGUAACACGUGGGUAACCUGCCCAGAAGUAGGGGAUAACACCUGGAAACAGAUGCUAAUACCGUAUAACAGAGAAAACCGCAUGGUUUUCUUUUAAAAGAUGGCUCUGCUAUCACUUCUGGAUGGACCCGCGGCGUAUUAGCUAGUUGGUGAGGUAAAGGCUCACCAAGGCAGUGAUACGUAGCCGACCUGAGAGGGUAAUCGGCCACAUUGGGACUGAGACACGGCCCAGACUCCUACGGGAGGCAGCAGUAGGGAAUCUUCCACAAUGGACGCAAGUCUGAUGGAGCAACGCCGCGUGAGUGAAGAAGGGUUUCGGCUCGUAAAGCUCUGUUGUUAAAGAAGAACGUGGGUAAGAGUAACUGUUUACCCAGUGACGGUAUUUAACCAGAAAGCCACGGCUAACUACGUGCCAGCAGCCGCGGUAAUACGUAGGUGGCAAGCGUUAUCC